GACGAACGCUGGCGGCGUGCUUAACACAUGCAAGUCGAACGAAGUGGCGAACGGGUGAGUAACGCGUAAUCAACCUGCCCUUCAGAGCGGUACAACAGCUUGAAACGACUGCUAAUACCGCAUACGGAAGGUGGUGAUUUCGUCUGAUUAGCUAGUUGGAGGGGUAAAGUCCCACAAAGGCGAUGGUCAUGAGCCGGUCUGAGAGGAUGAACGGCCACAUUGGGACUGGGGCACGGCCCAAGAUCCUUCGGGAGGCAACAGUGGGGAAUCUUCCGCAAAGGACGGAAGUCUGGAGGAGCAAAGCCGCGGGAGUGAUGACGGCCUUCGGGUUGUAAAGCUCUGUUAAUCGGGACGCGGUACCGGAAUAGAAAGCCACGGCUAACUACGUGCCAGCAGCCGCGGUAAUUC
rnacentral:rRNA from 1 species